rnacentral:rRNA from 1 species
UACGUAGGGUGCGAGCGUUGUCCGGAAUUAUUGGGCGUAAAGGGCUCGUAGGCGGUCUGUCGCGUCGAUCGUGAAAACUUGGGGCUUAACCCUGAGCUUGCGGUCGAUACGGGCAUGACUGGAGUUCGGCAGGGGAGACUGGAAUUCCUGGUGUAGCGGUGAAAUGCGCAGAUAUCAGGAGGAACACCCGUGGCGAAGGCGGCUCUCUGGGACGGUACUGACGCUGAGACGCGAAAGCGUGGGGAGCGAACAGG